rnacentral:rRNA from 1 species
UGAACGCUAGCUACAGGCUUAACACAUGCAAGUCGAGGGGCAGCAUGGUCUUAGCUUGCUAAGGCCGAUGGCGACCGGCGCACGGGUGAGUAACACGUAUCCAACCUGCCGUCUACUCUUGGACAGCCUUCUGAAAGGAAGAUUAAUACAAGAUGGCAUCAUGAGUCCGCAUGUUCACAUGAUUAAAGGUAUUCCGGUAGACGAUGGGGAUGCGUUCCAUUAGAUAGUAGGCGGGGUAACGGCCCACCUAGUCUUCGAUGGAUAGGGGUUCUGAGAGGAAGGUCCCCCACAUUGGAACUGAGACACGGUCCAAACUCCUACGGGAGGCAGCAGUGAGGAAUAUUGGUCAAUGGGCGAGAGCCUGAACCAGCCAAGUAGCGUGAAGGAGGACUGCCCUAUGGGUUGUAAACUUCUUUUAUAAAGGAAUAAAGUCGGGUAUGGAUACCCGUUUGCAUGUACUUUAUCAAUAAGGAUCGGCUAACUCCGUG